UUUUAUUUGAGAGUUUGAUCCUGGCUCAGGAUGAACGCUGGCGGCGUGCCUAACACAUGCAAGUUGAGCGAUUUACUUCGGUAAAGAGCGGCGGACGGGUGAGUAACGCGUGGGUAACCUACCCUGUACACACGGAUAACAUACCGAAAGGUAUGCUAAUACGGGAUAAUAUAUUUGAGAGGCAUCUCUUGAAUAUCAAAGGUGAGCCAGUACAGGAUGGACCCGCGUCUGAUUAGCUAGUUGGUAAGGUAACGGCUUACCAAGGCGACGAUCAGUAGCCGACCUGGGAGGGUGAUCGGCCACAUUGGAACUGAGACACGGUCCAAACUCCUACGGGAGGCAGCAGUGGGGAAUAUUGCACAAUGGGCGAAAGCCUGAGUGCAGCAACGCCGCGUGAGUGAUGAAGGCCUUCGGGUCGUAAAACUCUGUCCUCAAGGAAGAUAAUGACGGUACUUGAGGAGGAAGCCCCGGCUAACUACGUGCCAGCAGCCGCGGUAAUACGUAGGGGGCUAGCGUUAUCCGGAUU
rnacentral:rRNA from 1 species